rnacentral:rRNA from 1 species
GCAAACUGGCGGCGUGCCUAAUCAUGCAAGUACAACGCUGACCUCUGGUGCUUGCACUAGAGUGAUGAGUUGCGAACGGGUGAGUAACGCGUAGGUAACCUACCUUUAAGCGGGGGAUAACUAUUGGAAACGAUAGCUAAUACCGCAUAACAACUUUUAACACAUGUUAGGAGUUUGAAAGGGGCAACUGCCUCACUUAGAGAUGGACCUGCGUUGUAUUAGCUAGUUGGUAGGGUAAAGGCCUACCAAGGCGACGAUACAUAGCCGACCUGAGAGGGUGAUCGGCCACACUGGGACUGAGACACGGCCCAGACUCCUACGGGAGGCGGCAGUAGGGAAUCUUCGGCAAUGGGGGCAACCCUGACCGAGCAACGCCGCGUGAGUGAAGAAGGUUUUAGGAUCGUAAAGCUCUGUUGUAAGAGAAGAAUGUUGUGUAGAGUGGAAAGUUACACAAGUGACGGUAUCUUACCAAAAAGGGACGGCUAACUACGUGCCACCAGCCGCGGUAAU